rnacentral:rRNA from 1 species
UGUGCACGUUAGGGUUGCAAAUCCACACACCUGUGCAUCCUUGACUCUAAAUGCCCUUGCCCUCAGUUUGAGGGAGCCUGAUUUGCAAUCAAUCUGGCAUUAGAGUAUUCUUCACACUCCGAAUGUAAAGGAAUGUCUAUGCAUAACAUGCAAAUGAAACAACUUUCAACAACGGAUCUCUUGGCUCUCGCAUCGAUGAAGAACGCAGCGAAAUGCGAUAAGUAAUGUGAAUUGCAGAAUUCAGUGAAUCAUCGAAUCUUUGAACGCACCUUGCACCCUUUGGUAGCCCAAAGGGUACACCCGUUUGAGUGUCAUUGUAAUCUCACUCAUCUGACUUUUGUCAGCAUGUUGUGGAGUUGGAUGCUGCUGUGCUGUAACAGCUCAUCUGAAAUUUCUGAGUGCAUCCUGUAUUGCGAUGUGUUUGGUGUGAUAAAUCUUCACCAUAAUUGACUCUCUGGGUCACACUCGCUUGUUGCAUGGCUCUGUACUUCCAAACAUCCCCAAAGGGAUAAUAGUUGACAAUUUGACCUCA